CAGACUGUGGUUCAGUUCAGCGCUCUGAUGUCUGCGGUGUCUUUGUCUACUCAGGCGUCAAAAUCCCUGUUGUUACUUAGAAACGUCCGUCAACAGCAGAACAGCUCCGCCCCCUCACUCUACGACCAGCUGUGACAUCAGCUGAAUCACACUGAGAACACUUGAAUGCUACACACUGCCUUAAACAACCUGACCGAGGACGCCUGAAGGCAACACGGGUGUUUUCUGUCGGAGUAUCUGCAGUUUGCUGGCAGCUCUUCAGCCUCAAACACUCUCGAUCUGAUUGAUGUGUUCAGAUAUAUCGAAGUGAUGUGUUCAGGUGUGUUAAGAUAUGUCCAGGUGAUGUGUUAAGAUAUAUCCAGGUGAUGUGUUCAGGUAUGUCCAGGUGAUGUGUUCAGGUAUGUCCAGGUGAUGUGUUCAGGUGUGUUAAGAUAUAUCCAGGUGAUGAGUUAAGAUAUAUCCAGGUGAUGUGUUCAGGUAUGUCCAGGUGAUGUGUUCAGGUGUGUUAAGAUAUAUCCAGGUGAUGUGUUAAGAUAUAUCCAGGUGAUGUGUUCAGGUAUGUCCAGGUGAUGUGUUCAGGUGUGUUAAGAUAUAUCCAGGUGAUGAGUUAAGAUAUAUCCAGGUGAUGUGUUCAGGUGUGUUAAGAUAUAUCCAGGUGAUGUGUUCAGGUAUGUCCAGGUGAUGUGUUCAGGUGUGUUAAGAUAUAUCCAGGUGAUGUGUUCAGGUAUGUCCAGGUGAUGUGUUCAGGUGUGUUAAGAUAUGUCCAGGUGAUGUGUUCAGGUGUGUUAAAAUAUAUCCAGGUGAUGUGUUCAGGUGUGUUAAGAUAUAUCCAUGUGAUGUGUUCAGGUGUGUUAAGAUAUAUCCAGGUGAUGUGUUCAGGUGUGUUAAGAUAUGUCCAGGUGAUGUGUUCAGGUGUGUUAAGAUAUAUCCAGGUGAUGUGUUCAGGUGUGUUAAGAUAUAUCCAGGUGAUGUGUUCAGGUAUGUCCAGGUGAUGUGUUCAGGUGUGUUAAGAUAUGUCCAGGUGAUGUGUUCAGGUGUGUUAAGAUAUAUCCAGGUGAUGUGUUCAGGUGUGUUAAGAUAUAUCCAGGUGAUGUGUUAAGAUAUAUCCACGUGAUGUGUUCAGGUGUGUUAAGAUAUAUCCACGUGAUGUGUCCAGGUGUGUUAAGGUAUGUCCAGGUGAUGUGUUCAGGUGUGUUAAGAUAUAUCCAGGUGAUGUGUUCAGGUAUGUCCAGGUGAUGUGUUCAGGUGUGUUAAGAUAUGUCCAGGUGAUGUGUUCAGGUGUGUUAAGAUAUAUCCAGGUGAUGUGUUCAGGUGUGUUAAGAUAUAUCCAGGUGAUGUGUUCAGGUAUGUCCAGGUGAUGUGUUCAGGUGUGUUAAGAUAUAUCCAGGUGAUGUGCUAAGAUAUAUCCACGUGAUGUGUUCAGGUGUGUUAAGAUAUAUCCACGUGAUGUGUCCAGGUGUGUUAAGGUAUGUCCAGGUGAUGUGUUCAGGUGAUGUGUUCAGGUGUGUUGAGAUAUAUCCAGGUGAUGUGUUCAGGUAUGUGCAGGUGAUGUGUUCAGGUGUGUUCAGAUAUAUCCAGGCAGUGUGUUCAGGCGCGUCAGUGUAAACAGUGCUGCAGAUCUCAGAGUAUCUGCAGUGUGCUGGCAGCUCUUGAGCCUCAGACACUCUCAGGCUGAGUUAUGUCUCCAUGUUGGACCACUUUGGGACCAUUAGUGUGAUUCCAGCAGCUGGAGCCAAGCAGACAAUCAAUAUUUGUAAUUGAGUGGGAGAUAAUUGGCCCGUUUCUAAAACCACAACAAGCAGGAAGUGGACUCGGACUUUACGGUCCAAUCCUUCGCCAUCUGUCUCAGAACCUGUUUUAUUUCUCUGAUUUACAACAUGUUGGACAUGUCCGAGACAGAACCUUUUAACCACGUGAUCAGCCCAACCUGAAAUGACCUGACACAACAUUUAGGAGGAGGACACAACAUUUAGGAGGAGGACACAUCAGAGAGGAGAGAGGACACAUCAGAGGACAUGUCUCAGUGUCCAGCCUGCAGUCUGAAACAUAUAAAUUCAUAUUUAAAGAAGAGUGGCGUGCAGUCGUGGCGAGCGUGGUUUCAAUGACCCGCUCUGAUGUUAAUGGAGGGGGUGUGUCCUCAGCCUGUUUGUGUCCUCGUCUCAUGGCGUGGUGUGUUCACUGUGUCACAGCUGCACACGAACUUCCUGCUUCACCUCACAGUUUGGCGUUUCAAACCAUAAAUUAGAAAUUAUAGUUUUGUUUUUAUCUGACACACUCGAAAGCACCACAGUAAAUUAAAUAAUAAUUAAAUAAGUCAGAAGACGAAGAACAGGAAGACCACUGAUGAAGGUGGAGAAGAGUGACGGCCCCAAAUAGCCUCCCUGUGGAACGCUACAUUUUCACGUUUAAACAUGUGAAAACAACCCCAUCAUAAAGCCUGCGGUGUGUUCAGGAACUUUGAAUAUUCAUCCAGCCAUUUAUCAUCCAAUUGGUCCGAAUUUUUAUUCACUGCGUUUUUACUGAUGUUUCACUGUUUGUUCCAUCUGUGAUGUCACCACUCGUGUCACACCUCAGUGUUUGAUUCUGUCUCAGCGCUGACAGAUUUUAUCAGACCACAGAGGGACAGAAGACAGGAGACAGAGGACAGAGGGACAGAGGGAUGUGGUCUUCUGUAAACCCUACCCCUCUGAGACAAAUUGAUCUGUGAUAUUGAUCUUUACAAAUAAAUAAAGUUGAAUUAAUAACCUGUGAACGUGUCGUCCUGCAGGACUCAAGGACUCGUCUUUGCUUCAGUGUGUUUGUGUCUGUACUCCUUGAGAGUUUUUUCGGGGGUUCCUUCAGUCAUUACUGCAAUUUUCAUGUUCCUCUGCGGCUUGCCAUCACGCUGGAGGAAAUCUGAGAGAAUUUAUUUUUCUUUUCUUUUUUUUUUUCUUUCUUUUUUUUUUUUUUAAAGAUAUUUUUGGGGGCAUUUUUAAGCCUUUAAUCGAUAGAACAGAUGAGCGUGAAGGGGGGAGAGAGAGAGGGAACGACAUGCAGCAAAGGGCCACGGGCCGGAGCCGAACCCGGGCCGCUGCGGUAACAGCCUUGUAUAUCUUGUAUAUGGGGACCUGCUCUACCACUAAGCCACCGACGUCCCGUGAGGGAAUUUCUUUGAAAAGUCCCCAGACAGGAAGUUGGAGUGACAGCAGGCGGAGACUGGCGUUGCAGGCGGAGGCUGACGCAGCAGCAGGCGGAGGCCGGCGCAGCAGCAGGUGGAGGCUGACGCUGCAGGCGCCGGGAGAGUCCACAGACUAAAAUCAUCUGUGUUGCGGAGGUUGUGUCUGUGUGAGCGGCAAGAAAUCGACUCCCACAUGCUGUUCCCUUGCUGUGAUUGUUGGCAUGAAAUGAGUCUGGCAGAGCAUCACCAUAUCAUCGCGUGAGCUUGUCACCGCAUCAGCUGGCUGCUGAUUUACUAACUGAGGGCGGAGCUCCGAGCUGUCUGUGUCUUUGGCGACUUUCUGAUGAGCUGCUGAAGCUGCAGGUUCAUUUCUUUAUGUCACACAGGUCGUUCAUGUUCCAACAUACGUUCAAUUGUAAAACCUGUGUUGGCGAGCUGUGGACAUUUAAAGCACGAAUUCUUCCAGAACAACCUGUGGCUAAAAGACUAGUCACAGUGGAUUGACACCGUGAAAAGUUCCUGCAGGACAGACACCACCAUCUCAUCCAACCAUGACACGCGUCAGGUUAUCAACAUGCUGAACAUGUUCCUGUUAGCAGCAUCUGCUCCACUGCUAACGUUACGAGUCAUCUAAUAAAUUAUAUCAUUUAAAAUUUUACUAUGAGUCCCAGUGGAAAAAAAAACCCCAAAAAUCAUUAGAUAAGGAGUGUAAGUAGUCACAUAGUAUUGCAUGUGCUCGGCCUCCGUACAAGACAAAAUAACAUCUUCAGGUGUCAGUGACCAAACAUCGUUACCCUUGACUUCAUGAAUUUGGAAAUUGUUUGACCUCAAAAUCGUAAUCGCAAUCACCAGACGAUUAAUUGCACAGCUUUAGUCUGAACUCUGUCGAGUGUCGUCGGGACUCGUCAGGUGACCUGGGCGAGAUCAGCUGUGAUGACGCUGAGCGAAGAUCUUAUUGUUGUUUAUUUGUUUACUCUGCGGUCGGUCGGACGGACCGGUCGGCUGAAUACCAACGACAUCUCGCUGCAGCACGAAGAACGUUUCAAUCAAACCUGAAGAUGCAGAGUCUUUAAAGGGACACUUUGCUUAUUUUAACUAACCCUGAUGAUUGUUUCCCUCCGUCCAAUGCAGAACCCUAACCUGUCCAGAGACGAGGCCCCGCCCACCACCCCUUUGUCUCAGACCCUGACAGAGACCUGAUCAAACAUUAAAACUAAUCAGAGCUGAUCGAUUAUCAAUAACAAUUCUGUUUCUAUGUGUAGAACAGGACUAUACUGAGACACUGGGCUGUAGGACAGAGGACUGUACUGAGACACUGGGCUGUAGGACAGGACCGUACUGAGACACUGGGCUGUCCUGUGGGGGGUGUUGUCUGGUUGAUCCUCGCUGCCUUCAGACUCUGCCCUCAUCCUCACUCAGCUGAUGUCACAGGUCAGCUGACAGCCGAUUAGUCUGUCGAAGGUUUUGUUGGAUUGAUCAGGUCACCAAGUCGCUCCAACAGGAAAUGACUCAUCUCCGACAUCUCAAUAAUCAAUUAACAGUUUGAUCAGCUCAUUGAUCGACGCUGAUGUUCUUGUCUGACCUGCACUCCUGUGCUAGACUGAAUUAUUACCUGAAUGACAUCACUUCCUU